AACGAACGCUGGCGGCAGGCUUAACACAUGCAAGUCGAACGCUCGUGGCAAUACGGGAGUGGCAGACGGGUGAGUAACGCGUGGGAACAUGCCCUUUGGUUCGGAACAACUCCGGGAAACUGGAGCUAAAACCGGAUAAGCCCUACGGGGGAAAGAUUUACCGCCGAAGGAUUGGCCCGCGUCUGAUUAGCUAGUUGGUAGGGUAAUGGCCUACCAAGGCGACGAUCAGUAGCUGGUCUGAGAGGAUGAUCAGCCACACUGGGACUGAGACACGGCCCAGACUCCUACGGGAGGCAGCAGUGGGGAAUAUUGGACAAUGGGCGCAAGCCGGAUCCAGCCAUGCCGCGUGAGUGAUGAAAGCCUUAGGGUUGUAAAGCUCUUUCGCGCGCGACGAUAAUGACGGUAGCGUGAGAAGAAGCCCCGGCUAACUUCGUGCCAGCAGCCGCCGUAAUAC
rnacentral:rRNA from 1 species